GCCACCUCCAUCUGUUUAUUUAUAGGCUGAGGGCACGACGGAAAGCAGGUCCGGGUAAAUAUCUCCCCGCGGGUUCUCGGAGCGCUGCUUCCUUCACAGGAUUUACAGCUUCAAAGGCUCUGCCUCAAAGCCUGCAAAUAUCUUUUCAUCAUUUCAGCUGCGGUCUAAUUACCCGGCUGGCCGCCAGCGCCGGCCUCCUCUCCCAGGAUGUUGCCCUGCACUACCCAGGGGGGAAAAAUGCUCCAGGCUGGGCUCUGCGCCGGCUUAGCCACGCUCGAGGGGAAAAGCAUAAUGGUGUGUCUGUGGGAUCCCAUUGGGAUCUGCUCUGCCAACAGGCUGCUGCAUGGGCCUCUGGGGAUCCUCUCUUCCUGCACCACCCUGGGGCUGGCUGUCCCCGUGUCUUCAGUGCCAGUGACCAGCAGGAAUGGGUGAAUCAGAAGCGUGAGAAACCUAUGGGGCAUCUCCCCUCCUCAUUACCCCGUGGUGUCAGGGCACAGUGAGUCCUCCAUCCAUCAUCUUGGCCAAUUUAGACUGGGAAAGCAACGUUCAACUGGAUCCAAAUCACAGCUGGGUGCGGGCGGUGGCAUCUCCAAGUGCACAUCCUUCUCACAGGACACGCAGGGAUGCUCCAUGCCAAGCAUCUGCCCCCAUGGCUGGGGGAAGGGAUGGGGG
rnacentral:lncRNA from 1 species